ensembl:lncRNA
AUCUAACUGCAGGGAAGACAAACUCUCCGCGUGCUCCAGCCUGUGCUUAUUACAGGCUGAGGAGUGGGGGGCGGGGGGCAGGGACGUUGCUCAGAUCGACUUAUCUGCUCCGAUCGACUUCUCGGGCUUUAUAAAUCGAUGGCCGCGGCAUCGAUUGCGGCAGCCGCGAAUUAGCAUGCCCGUUCGACAAACUCUGUCCAGCGGCUUGAAGCAGGGGUCCCCAACGCGGGGACGUCAUGACGUCAUCCCGAGGCGACGCCGCCGAAACGCCAGCGGAUUUCAGGGGCCGGUGUCGGCUCGGGAUGACGUAUGGCGUAUGACGUCAUCCGCUGGCGCCGCUGGUGAAGCCGGCAUGGACCAGACGGAAAAGGCUGGGGCGCAGUGACUUAAAGAGAAGGCGCCAUGAGCUGGGCUGUGGGGCUGGCGUCUGUCCUGUGGGGCUCGUCCCUUGGCGCUGGACCGACGUUCCAAGAUUCCACUUUGUCCCCACUCUCUCUACAUGUGACCACCCAAGCCAUAGAGGGAUCGUGGAAUGAGACUGACAAGAAGAAUUUCAUGACUUCUCAUGGCCAUGCUGGCUUGAUUACUGUAGUUGUCAUGGUGGUGGUGCUGCUGCUGCUAUUUGUGCUGUAUAAACAUAAGGUUAUCCCGUGUAGAAGAAAGAAGCCUGAGAUAUAAGCAAGUGAAGAUGAGUUGCUUUAGGAAGCUAUAAACAGUGGAAUGGAACUACAGAUGGCUUAGAGGGAGAACAAGUGUGCACUGUGAUGGUCAGGGUCUCUGCUAGCAGGGAAACAAGACCCACAUGGAGCCUCUUACCAGCAAUUACUAUUGGUGCUCUUCUGAUCUCUCCCACCUGAUUUGCACAUUUUGAGGACUUCUGUUUUGGAAAUUCCUAGUUCUGCUUGUGGUUUGGGAGAUAGCAGACCUGGAAUACACGUAGCCACUUUUCUAAUCCUACUUGCUGUUAACUGGCUUAGGUUGUGUUUUGUUUUUAAUUUAUUUUUGUAAGAGCUGUUCAAAGGCUUGCCUCAUUGCGUUCUAAGACCUGCCUGCCAUGUAGGCUUUGGUUUGCUUUCUGGUGUCUUCUGGGUUCACCUACCUGCCCAUUUCUAAUGCAUGUAUCACUGUAGUCUCUAGUGGCAGUUACAUUCCCCACCAUCAUGAAAUAUUUCUAGACUUAUUCUGAAAUACUGCAUCUCUGGAACGCCGUACUGUCUACUGCGUAUACAGGAAUCCAUUAUUUAUACAUUGCUUGCCUUUUUAGCCCUGCUCUCCCAAAACACUAGGUGCACAGCAUGAAAUACAAUCGGUCCAAAAGAGGUGUCAGUACAUUAUAAAGAUGCAUUAGUGGUUUUAAAAACCCACCAUCUGUUGCUAACCAAGAACCAUUCUUUAGCUAGCAGAAUCAUCCUGAUAAAAUAUGUCUUCCUCUUCUGAACAAAACUCAACAUUUUCUCAGGUAGCUUGAUCUUCAGAGAUGCACUUUUAAAUGUCUUAGAAAGAUCCUGAACAGCCAGCUAUAGUAGAAAGAGCCUGGGCCUGGUGCAAGGCCUGAGGCCUGAAUCAAAGUCAGCAAAAGUUAUGCUUAAAAGUUGUAGAUGCCAUGUUCUGAUCAUUUAUGAAGAUAUACGUCUGUUACAUAAUUACAAAUUAGUACCCGAGCCGAGCAUAUGAAGAU